ACGGUCCAGACUCCUACGGGAGGCAGCAGUGGGGAAUAUUGCACAAUGGGCGCAAGCCUGAUGCAGCCAUGCCGCGUGUAUGAAGAAGGCCUUCGGGUUGUAAAGUACUUUCAGCGAGGAGGAAGGCAUUAAGGUUAAUAACCUUAGUGAUUGACGUUACUCGCAGAAGAAGCACCGGCUAACUCCGUGCCAGCAGCCGCGGUAAUACGGAGGGUGCAAGCGUUAAUCGGAAUUACUGGGCGUAAAGCGCACGCAGGCGGUCUGUCAAGUCGGAU
rnacentral:rRNA from 3 species